ACGUGUCUCUGGGGAGCACGUCCUAUUCCCCAAGCGAGCGGACGCCCCCAAGAGAGCGCCUCCCUCCCGACUCCCGAGCGAACCACCAGAGAGGGCCUCCUCCCCGAGCGCGACAGCUAGGGUUACUAGCCGCCGCCGACCGACCCACCGCCACCACCGCCGGCCCUCCGCCGCGGCGCGCGUAGCCGUCCCAAGCCCCCGCUGCCCCGCCGCCGGUACAGGACCCCAGGCAGCGCCUCCCUCCCUCCGCCGAGCAGCCGCUCCCGCCAGCAGCGCCUCCCUCAAUCCCUCCCUCCCUGGAGCAGCCGCCGCCCCGGAGCUACGCCGGCGACCAGUCCAUCGGCAGGUGUCAGUUCCUAAUGGUUAUCUAGAGACAGAUACAUUGAAGGGUCCUCAAUGGAUUUGAACGCAUCCCCGUUGCCCGAGGACGAUGACCAUGAAGAGCCAGUUGAGCUUGAUUUUGGACAGGACGAUGAAGAUCACGUCGAGUCUGCUGUUGAGAUUAUGAGGAGGGAACGAGAAGAACGACGCAGAAAGUUAAAGAGAGAUCAACCAGAUGAUGGACCAAGGCCAAGACCACAACAGGUUAGGAAUGAUCAUGCAACCCAAAACAAGAUUGGCGGAUACAAACGAGUUAAAGAGACACCUCAGGGUUGGAUGGAUUGCCCUGCAUCUGGUCAACCAAUAGACAAAAUCAUACCCUCUAAAGUUCCGCUGGAUGAAACAUUCAAUGAGUCGGUUCCUCCUGGAAAAAGAUAUUCUUCCAAACAAGUUGUUAAUAAACAAAGAAAGGCUGGCAGGGACAUAGGUUUGGUGAUUGACUUGACAAAUACCUCUCGGUACUAUUCGCCAGCAGAGUGGACGAAGCAAGGUACUAAACAUGUCAAGAUUGCUUGCAGGGGGAGAGAUGCUGUACCAGAAAAUGAAGCUGUUAACACGUUUGUGUAUGAGGUGUUGGCGUUUCAUGAGCGCCAGAAGCCAUCAAGGAAUCCCAAAUACGUACUUGUUCACUGUACUCAUGGGCAUAACCGUACUGGCUUUAUGAUUGUUCAUUACCUAAUGCGCACACAACUGUCUAGUGUUACUGAGGCUUUAAAUAUAUUUGCUCAAAGACGGCCUCCAGGAAUAUAUAAAACCGACUACAUUCAAGCACUGUAUACAUUUUAUCAUGAAAUUCCUGAAAGUAUCACAUGUCCACCGACACCGGAAUGGAAGAGGCCUUCUGAUCUUGAUUUGAAUGGUGAAGCUAAGCAGGAUGACGAUGACGACAAUGGCGAGUCUGCACCAUCACCAGAUCCUGUAGAUGACAAGGCCAUUACUAAUGAUGAUGUCCUAGGGGAUGCUGUACCUUUCGACCAGCAAGAUAUCUUGCGUGGCAUAUGUUUCAAAUUGCUUGAUUUUGUACCCAAUGGUAGAGCUAAUGCUCAAUUUCCAGGAUCUCAUCCAGUUUCCCUCAACAGUGAGAACCUGCAACUUCUGAGACAAAGAUAUUAUUAUGCUACGUGGAAAGCUGAUGGAACACGAUACAUGAUGCUUAUAAUGCGGGAUGGCUGUUUCUUAAUAGACCGAAACUUCUGCUUUAGAAGAGUUCAGAUGCGUUUUCCUAUUAGGAAUGUUAACGAUGGUUUCCACAACUUUACAUUGAUCGAUGGAGAAAUGGUUGUAGACGCCAUACCAGGUGGUGGAUUGAAGCGGAGGUACUUAGCGUAUGAUCUAAUGGCAAUUAAUUUCUCCUCCAAAGUCAAGUUGCCCUUUUCUGACAGGUGGAAGCUACUUGAGGAUGAAAUAAUUCGUCCACGCAUCUAUGAGAGAAAGCAGUUUGAAACUGGUCUGAAAGGCAAUCCAUCAUACAGAUAUGACCUGGAACUUUUUUCGGUAAGGAGAAAGGAUUUUUGGCUGCUUUCCACGGUGAAGAAAUUACUCAAGGAGUUUAUUCCAGCACUUUCACAUGAAUCUGAUGGGCUUAUAUUUCAGGGCUGGGAUGAUCCAUACGUGAAUCGUACACACGAAGGUCUUUUAAAAUGGAAGUACCCAGAGAUGAAUUCAGUUGACUUUUUGUUUGAGACUGGUAGUGAAAACCGUCAGCUUAUUUUUCUGUACGAGAGAGGCAAAAAGAAACUUAUGGAUGGUACCCGGGUGGUAUUUGCUGAUGAUGUAGAUCCAUCUUCAAUAUCAGGGAAAAUUGUUGAGUGCUCUUGGAAUAAACAGGAGGACUGCUGGUUCUGCAUGCGAAUCCGAGCAGAUAAGUCAACUCCUAAUGAUAUCAAUACUUACAGAAAGGUGAUGAGGAGCAUCACAGAUAACAUUACUGAAGACAAGCUCCUGGGCGAGAUGAGUGAGAUCAGUAGCCUUCCGAUGUACGCCGACAGGAAGGCCCAUGCUGACAGGAAAGCCCACGCCGAGAAGAUGGCUCACCAGCACAGAAGGAGGGGAUAAGGCGAAUAAUCUUGGUCUUCUGAACUAGAAUCAACAAUGCCGGCUGGCCUCUGUAGCCUGUGUAUUUAGCAAUAAUCAAUUUUUGACUUCAAUUAAACAACAGCGGUCACUACACAAGUUUUUCAAUGCUUUGUCAUAUUGGCCAUUGUACAUGUAUCGUUCCAGAGUCCUGUAUAUCUCUUAUUGUGUGUCAUCAAUGCUUGAUAUCAUUGUCGUUUGGUCUAUACUUCUGAAUAGCUUUGUCGGCACUUUUUUCAAUGUGGUGUGUUUUCUUUGCCCUAUCCUUGUAUGAACGUCAUGUUCUUUCUUUAAUCAAGUUAAAACACACACCAUAGUUGCAUUGC
rnacentral:rRNA from 1 species